CCUACGGGAGGCAGCAGUGGGGAAUAUUGCGCAAUGGGGGAAACCCUGACGCAGCAACGCCGCGUGAGUGAGGAAGGACUUCGGUCUGUAAAGCUCUGUUAAUGAGGAAAAAUGGUAGUUGGUCUAAUAGGCCGAUUAUUUGAUGGUACUCAUAGAGGAAGCACCGGCUAACUUCGUGCCAGCAGCCGCGGUAAUACGAAGGGUGCAAGCGUUGUUCGGAUUUAUUGGGCGUAAAGCGCGCGUAGGCGGACCUGCAAGUCAGAUGUGAAAUCUCGAGGCUCAACCUCGAAACUGCGUCUGAAACUACAGGUCUAGAAUCUCGGAGGGGGAAGGGGAAUUUCGCAUGUAGGGGUAAAAUCCGUAGAUAUGCGAAGGAACACCAGAGGCGAAGGCGCCUUCCUGGACGAGUAUUGACGCUGAGGCGCGAAAGCGUGGGGAUCAAACAGGAUUAGAUACCCUGGUAGUCCACGCUGUAAACGAUGAACACUAGGUAUUGGAGGAUUUGACCCCUUCAGUGCCGUAGCUAACGCGUUAAGUGUUCCGCCUGGGAAGUACGGUCGCAAGCUAAAACNCAAAUGAAUUGACGG
rnacentral:rRNA from 1 species